UCCACUGGCCAUAUCAUCCUGAACGUGCCCAAUCUCGUCUGAUCUCAGAAGCUAAUCAGGGUCAGGCCUGGUUAAUUCUUGGAU
rnacentral:rRNA from 1 species